rnacentral:rRNA from 1 species
GGACCCUUCGGGGUUAGUGGCAGACGGGUGAGUAACGCGUGGGAACCUACCUUUAGGUACGGAACAACACAGAGAAAUUUGUGCUAAUACCGUAUGUGAUCUUCGGAUCAAAGAUUUAUCGCCUAAGGAUGGGCCCGCGUUAGAUUAGCUAGUUGGUGAGGUAACGGCUCACCAAGGCGACGAUCUAUAGCUGGUCUGAGAGGAUGAUCAGCCACAUUGGGACUGAGACACGGCCCAAACUCCUACGGGAGGCAGCAGUGAGGAAUAUUGGACAAUGGGCGCAAGCCUGAUCCAGCCAUGCCGCGUGAGUGAUGACGGCCUUAGGGUUGUAAAGCUCUUUCAACGGUGAAGAUAAUGACGGUAGCCGUAGAAGAAGCCCCGGCUAACUUCGUGCCAGCAGCCGCGGUAAUACGAAGGGGGCAAGCGUUGUUCGGAAUCACUGGGCGUAAAGCGCGCGUAGGCGGACUUUUAAGUCAGGGGUGAAAUCCCGAGGCUCAACCUCGGAACUGCCUUUGAUACUGGGAGUCUUGAGUUCGAGAGAGGUGAGUGGAAUACCGAGUGUAGAGGUGAAAUUCGUAGAUAUUCGGUGGAACACCAGUG